rnacentral:tRNA from 1 species
GCUCCCGUAGCUCAGUGGUAAGAGCGUGGUACUUAUACAUGCCAAGGUCGCGGGUUCGACCCCCGCCGGGAGCA